rnacentral:rRNA from 1 species
UACGGAGGGUGCAAGCGUUAUCCGGAUUCACUGGGUUUAAAGGGUGUGUAGGCGGAUAUUUAAGUCAGUGGUGAAAUCUCCGGGCUCAACCCGGAAACUGCCAUUGAUACUAUUUAUCUUGAAUACUGUUGAGGUAGGCGGAAUAUAUCAUGUAGCGGUGAAAUGCAUAGAUAUGAUAUAGAACACCGAUUGCGAAGGCAGCUUACUAAACAGUUAUUGACGCUGAGGCACGAAAGCGUGGGGAUCGAACAGG